GGACUACCCGGGUAUCUAAUCCUGUUUGCUCCCCACGCUUUCGCGUCUUAGCGUCAGAAACCGUCCAGAUAGCCGCCUUCGCCACUGGUGUUCUUCCCAAUCUCUACGUAUUUCACCACUACACUGGGAAUUCCACUAUCCUCUCCGGUCCUCUAGUCAUCCAGUCCUGAAUGCAUUUCUUGAGUUAAGCUCAAGGCUUUCACAUCCAACUUGGACAACCGCCUACACGCGCUUUACGCCCAGUAAUUCCGAACAACGCUAGCCCCCUUCGUCUUACCGCGGCUGCUGGCAC
rnacentral:rRNA from 1 species